rnacentral:rRNA from 1 species
AUUGAACGCUGGCGGCAGGCCUAACACAUGCAAGUCGAACGAGUGGCGGACGGGUGAGUAAUGUCUGGGAAACUGCCUGAUGGAGGGGGAUAACUACUGGAAACGGUAGCUAAUACCGCAUACCAUCGGAUGUGCCCAGGUGGGAUUAGCUAGUGGGGGGGGAAAAGGCUCACCUAGGCGACGAUCCCUAGCUGGUCUGAGAGGCGGACCAGCCACACUGGAACUGAGACACGGUCCAGACUCCUACGGGAGGCAGCAGUGGGGAAUAUUGCACAAUGGGCGAAAGCCUGAUGCAGCCAUGCCGCGUGUGUGAAGAAGGCCUUCGGGUUGUAAAGUACUUUCAGCGGGGAGGCGUUACCCGCACAGGAAGCACCGGCUAACUCCGUGCCAGCAGCCGCGGUAAUAC